rnacentral:rRNA from 1 species
UACAGGGGGUGCAAACGUUGCUCGGAAUCAUUGGGCGUAAAGCGCACGUAGGCGGCUUUGUAAGUUAGAGGUGAAAGCCCGGGGCUCAACUCCGGAAUUGCCUUUAAGACUGCAUCGCUAGAAUUGUGGAGAGGUAAGUGGAAUUCCGAGUGUAGAGGUGAAAUUCGUAGAUAUUCGGAAGAACACCAGUGGCGAAGGCGACUUACUGGACACAUAUUGACGCUGAGGUGCGAAAGCGUGGGGAGCAAACAGG